rnacentral:rRNA from 1 species
GAUGAACGCUGGCGGCGUGCCUAACACAUGCAAGUCGAGAGUGAUUUAUGAGGACGAAACUUCGGUCUAGGAAUCAUAAUGAAAGCGGCGGACGGGUGAGUAACGCGUAGGCAACCUGCCCUUGACACAGGGAUAGCCUCGGGAAACCGGGAUUAAAACCUGAUGACGCCAAACAGUCACAUGGCUGUUUGGCCAAAGAUUUAUCGGUCAAGGAUGGGCCUGCGUCUGAUUAGUUAGUUGGUGGGGUAACGGCCUACCAAGACGACGAUCAGUAGCCGACCUGAGAGGGUGAUCGGCCACAUUGGAACUGAGACACGGUCCAAACUCCUACGGGAGGCAGCAGUGGGGAAUAUUGCACAAUGGGCGAAAGCCUGAUGCAGCAACGCCGCGUGAGCGAUGAAGGCCCUUGGGUCGUAAAGCUCUGUCCUUGGGGAAGAAACAAAUGACGGUACCCAAGGAGGAAGCCCCGGCUAACUACGUGCCAGCAGCCGCGGUAA